rnacentral:lncRNA from 10 species
GUGUAUGUGAAUGUAAAUAAAACUUACAUCUACCUUGUGGGAACCAUUAUUCUGAAAAGCAUACUUUGUAAAAUACAACUCAAAUCCAGCUGCCCCUUGACAGUGAAAGUCAUGUAUUUAAAGCAUGCUCUUGGCCAAGCACAGUGGCUCAUGUCUGUAAUCUCAACAGUUUGGGUGACAAAUCCAAGAGGAUCACUUGAGGCCAGGAGUUCCAGACCAGUCUAUGCGUGUUCUCACUGUUCAAUUCCCACCUAUGAGUGAGAAUAUGCGGUGUUUGGUUUUUUGUUCUUGCGAUAGUUUACUGAGAAUGAUGAUUUCCAGUUUCAUCCAUGUCCCUACAAAGGACAUGAACUCAUCAUUUUUAUGGCUGCAUAGUAUUCCAGUAUCUCAAAACAAGAAAAUAUUCUGAGAACUCUUGAAGAAGAUAUUAGACUUCUCAGAUAAAGUGAAAUGUGGUCUCCAAGCCAUUUUAAUUAAAUACUGAAAAGUCAGAGAGACCUUAGCUGGCAUCUAGAAUGCAGAUCAACAUAUCAAAAUCUCUGGGAUGCAGCAAAAGCUGUGUUAGAGGAACACUGAUAGUCCUAAACAUCUACGUCAAGAAGUUAGAAAGAUCUCAAAAUAAUCUAACAUCACCCCAUCACCCCUAGUGGAACUAGAAAAAUGAGAACUAACCCCAAAGCUAAUAGAAGAAAUAACUAAAUUAAAAUCAGAACUGAAUAAAGCUGAGACCCAUGACUCCAUACAAAGCAUCAAUGAACCAAAACCUUGUUCUUUGAAAGGAUAAACAACAACUAUAGACUACCAGGUAGAUUAACAACAAAAAAGGGAAGAAUCAUGUAAAUGCAAUCAAAAAUGAUAAAUGAGACAUUACACCUGAUCCCAUAGAAAUACAAAAUAUCCUCA